rnacentral:lncRNA from 1 species
GGGACUGAAAUAAUAGAGGAAUAUAACAAAAAAUAUAGAUGGAAUCGGAAAAGAAGGCAGCAAAAAAUACUCCAAUUGAAUCUGUCUCUUUCCUUCUGUUUAACCGUUGAUAACACUCAUUUUCCUCCUUUAAAAGCAUCUCCAAAACUCAGUAGCCAUCCGUCGUCUCCUUUCUCAUUAUCCUCACCAUGAAAACCUCCAUUACAACAUCUUAUUUAUCGCCAUUAAAAUCACCUCUUGAAGCUCUAUGAAAAUCUACCAUAGAACAACCCCAAAAAUACCAAAACAGAUCCAACAUCAGUCCUCGAGCAAAGAGGUUCGAAUUGGUCGAGGUUGCCGAAGCGGUUCACUUUUCUAGUCAGCGGCGAGCAGUAGGAUUUUCUUGAAGUUUCUCUGUUAAUAUUAUAAAUUUGCUCUCGGUGAGGUCCAAUUCUUUUUCUAUUAUCUUAUUUCCGUCACUUUCAUGUGUGCUUUUGUGAUGAGAUGAUUUUAAUAGUUUGUUUUCUUGACUAAUAUUAAGUUGGCUGGUACACCGUAUUUGAUUACUGUGGCUCAACAUUUGUUUCUU